rnacentral:tRNA from 1 species
ACUAGGAUGACUGAGUGGUUAAGGUAUUGGACUUAAGAUUCAAUAAAUGUGUACAGUUUACUGUUUUGAGUA